CGAAGGUGGCAAGCGUUGUUCGGAUUUACUGGGCGUACAGGGAGCGUAGGCGGUUGGAUAAGCCCUCCGUGAAAUCUCCAGGCUUAACCUGGAAAGUGCAGAGGGGACUGCUCAGCUAGAGGAUGGGAGAGGAGCGCGGAAUUCCCGGUGUAGCGGUGAAAUGCGUAGAGAUCGGGAGGAAGGCCGGUGGCGAAGGCGGCGCUCUGGAACAUUUCUGACGCUGAGGCUCGAAAGCGUGGGGAGCAAACAGGAUUAGAUACCCUGGUAGUCCACGCCUUAAACGAUGGAUACUAAGUGUCGGCGGGUUACCGCCGGUGCCGCAGCUAACGCAGUAAGUAUCCCGCCUGGGAAGUACGGCCGCAAGGUUG
rnacentral:rRNA from 1 species